rfam:Geosporobacter subterraneus DSM 17957 genome assembly, contig: EJ58DRAFT_scaffold00019.19
AUAAAUGCGAUGAAGAGGACAGUAAUAAGAGAGACGGUUUACAGAGAGAUAAUCCUAGGGUGAAAGAUUAUUAACACGGCCUUUUAUGAAGAUCACCUCAGAGCCGGAUGCCUGAAUGACAGUAGGGAAUCCCGUAGGCAUACGUUACAUGCAUAGAGUGAUAAGGUAGGCAAUCUAUCUUAUAAUCAGGGUGGUACCGCGGUUUAUUCGUCCCUAAG